rnacentral:rRNA from 1 species
UACGUAGGGUGCAAGCGUUGUCCGGAAUUAUUGGGCGUAAAGAGCUCGUAGGCGGUUUGUUGCGUCGGCUGUGAAAUCCCGAGGCUCAACCUCGGGUCUGCAGUCGAUACGAGCAAACUAGAGUGUUGCAGGGGAGACUGGAAUUCCUGGUGUAGCGGUGAAAUGCGCAGAUAUCAGGAGGAACACCCGUGGCGAAGGCGGCUCUCUGGGACGGUACUGACGCUGAGACGGCGAAAGCGUGGGGGAGUGAACAGG